GGGGGAGACUGGAGCACAACUCCAGGGUUUUAAUGAGGUACUACAACAGCUUUUGUGGGCCUCGAGAGACAUGUUACACAAUUAGAUCAUAUGGCAGCUCAGCUCCAGCGGAUCACCGAUUCCAACAGGGAUGAUAGAGUGCAGUGAUUCUUUGAUGACAUGGGUGAUAUUGAAUUGGACCGCAAUGAUUAUUUCCUAGAUGUGACAUAACCUCCACCAGUUCUAUCUACCAUUCAGGACCCUCCACUGUCUACAAGCAUAGCUCUUGCCAAGGAUGCACCGAUGCCCAAUCGGCCUUAACUUCCACUCAGGACCCCCCACCGCCCACUAGCACAGCUCUUGCUUAGGACGCUUCGAUUUUCACCCCCCAGCCUCGGCGAAUGAUCAGGGCAGUCUUCUCUAGAUUUUCUUUUAUUUUCUACUUAUCUUUACUUUAUUUUUCAUACAUGUCAUGUACUUAGAUAUUAUUGAUUUUUCUUUCCUUGUUUUUACUUCCCAUGUAGCAUACCCACUUUGUUUUACACUGAGGACAGUGUGUCCUUCAAGUGUGGGGUGGUUAAACCGUAU
rnacentral:lncRNA from 1 species